AGUGAACGCUGGCGGCAGGCCUAACACAUGCAAGUCGAACGGCAGCACAGGAGAGCUUGCUCUCUGGGUGGCGAGUGGCGGACGGGUGAGGAAUACAUCGGAAUCUACCUUUUCGUGGGGGAUAACGUAGGGAAACUUACGCUAAUACCGCAUACGACCUACGGGUGAAAGUGGGGGACCGCAAGGCCUCACGCGAUUAGAUGAGCCGAUGUCCGAUUAGCUAGUUGGCGGGGUAAUGGCCCACCAAGGCGACGAUCGGUAGCUGGUCUGAGAGGAUUAUCAGCCACACUGGAACUGAGACACGGUCCAGACUCCUACGGGAGGCAGCAGUGGGGAAUAUUGGACAAUGGGCGCAAGCCUGAUCCAGCCAUACCGCGUGGGUGAAGAAGGCCUUCGGGUUGUAAAGCCCUUUUGUUGGGAAAGAAAUCCUGUCGAUUAAUACUCGGUGGGGAUGACGGUGCCCAAAGAAUAAGCACCGGCUAACUACGUGCCAGCCGCCGCGGUAAUAC
rnacentral:rRNA from 1 species